GAGACACCAUGGAGACCUGGGGGACAUCGUGGGGACCUCGGGGACAAGGGGACAUCGUGGGGACCUUGGGGACAUCGUGGGGACCUCGGGGACAAGGGGACAUGGAGGGGACCUCCACAAUGGGGGGACAUUGUGGGGACCUCCAAAAUGGGGAGACAUCAUGGGAGCCUCGGGGACAUCAUGGGGACCUCCACAAUGGGGAGACACCAUGGAGACCUUGGGGACAUCGUGGGGACCUCGGGGACAAGGGGACAUCGUGGGGAACUCCAAAAAGGGGGGACAUUGUGGGGACCUCGGGGACAAGGGGACAUCGAGGGGAACUCCACAGUGGGGGGACAUCGUGGGGACCUCCACAACAGGGGACAUCGUGGGGACCUCGGGGACAAGGGGACAUUGUGGGGACCUCGGGGACAAGGGGACAUCGAGGGGAACUCCACAGUGGGGGGACAUCGUGGGGACCUCCACAACAGGGGACAUCGUGGGGAGCUCNNNNNNNNNNNNNNNNNNNNNNNNNNNNNNNNNAUCCAUUGUGAGAGGGCAUUGUGGGGACCUCAGGGAUAAGGGGACAUCAUGGGGACCUUUGGGACAAGGGGACAUCGUGGAGACCUCCAGGACAAGGGGACAUCAUGGGGACCUCCACAAUGGGGGGACAUUGUGGGGACCUCAAUGUGGGACAUCGUGGAGACCUCGGGGACAAGGGGACAUCGUGGGGACCUUCACAAUGGGGGGACAUUGUGGGGACCUCUGGGACAAGGGGACAUCGUGGGGACCUUGGGGACAAGGGGACAUUGAGGGGAAGUCCAUUGUGAGAGGGCAUUGUGGGGACCUCAGGGAUAAGGGGACAUCAUGGGGACCUUUGGGACAAGGGGACAUCGUGGAGACCUCCAGGACAAGGGGACAUCAUGGGGACCUCCACAAUGGGGGGACAUUGUGGGGACCUCAAUGGGGGACGACCUCCAAAAUGGGGGGACAUUGUGGGGACUUCGGGGACAAGAGGACAUUCAAGGGACCUUUGAGAGAAGAGGACAUCGUGGGGACCUCCAGAAUAAGGGGACAUUAUGGGGACCUUGGGGACAUCGUGGGGACCUCGGGGACAAGGGGACAUCGAGGGGAACUCCACAGUGGGGGGACAUUGUGGGGACCUUGGGGACAAGGGGACAUCAAGGGGACCUCCAGAAUAAGGGGACAUUAUGGGGACCUUGGGGACAUCGUGGGGACCUCGGGGACAAGGGGACAUCGAGGGGAACUCCACAGUGGGGGGACAUUGUGGGGACCUUGGGGACAAGGGGACAUCAAGGGGACCUCCAGAAUAAGGGGACAUUAUGGGGACCUUGGGGACAUCGUGGGGACCUCGGGGACAAGGGGACACAGUGGGCAGUUCUGGGACGAGGGGAUGGAGGUGGCACAUGGGUGGCGGGGACAGAAGUGACAUGCUGGUGGCACCUGUGUGACAAGGAGUGUCACCGCCAUGGCUGGGUGAAAGCAGUGCCACCAUUACGGUCACGUGACACAGGUGCCACCACCACGG
rnacentral:lncRNA from 1 species